rnacentral:ncRNA from 1 species
UUCUUCGGGGCAGGGUGUGAUUCCCUACUGGCGGUAAAGUCCGCGACCCGGAAUGUGUGGAAGCAUAUUUCGGCUGACUCGGUGAAACUCCGGGACCAACAGUAUAGUCUGGAUGGAAGAAGAA